rnacentral:misc_RNA from 1 species
AACGCACCUUGCGCUCCUUGGUAUUCCGAGGAGCAUGCCUGUUUGAGUGUCAUUAAAUUCUCAAACUCUGAUUGAUUUGUUUCAAUCGAGCUUUGGAUUUGGAGCGUGCCGGCGUCAGUCGGCUCCUCUUGAAUGCAUCAGCGGAAUCCCCAUUCAUUUCGGACGUCAGUGUGAUAAUCAUGUUGCGCUGUCUCUUGCCGAUCUUGAAAGCCCGCUCACAAUGGUCUUCGGACAAACCUCACAUAUCAAAUUUGACCUCAAAUCAGGUAGGACUACCCGCUGAACUUAA